rnacentral:rRNA from 1 species
UGGGGAUGGCGGCGUCUUACCAUGCAGUCGAACGAUGAUGCCCAGCUUGCUGGGUGGAUUAGUGGCGAACGGGUGAGUAACACGUGAGUAACCUGCCCCUGACUCUGGGAUAAGCGUUGGAAACGACGUCUAAUACUGGAUAUGAUCACUGGCCGCAUGGUCUGGUGGUGGAAAGAUUUUUUGGUUGGGGAUGGACUCGCGGCCUAUCAGCUUGUUGGUGAGGUAAUGGCUCACCAAGGCGACGACGGGUAGCCGGCCUGAGAGGGUGACCGGCCACACUGGGACUGAGACACGGCCCAGACUCCUACGGGAGGCAGCAGUGGGGAAUAUUGCACAAUGGGCGAAAGCCUGAUGCAGCAACGCCGCGUGAGGGAUGACGGCCUUCGGGUUGUAAACCUCUUUUAGUAGGGAAGAAGCGAAAGUGACGGUACCUGCAGAAAAAGCACCGGGCUAACUACGUGCCAGCAGCCGCGGUAAUACGUAGGGUGCAAGCGUUGUCCGGAAUUAUUGGGCGUAAAGAGCUCGUAGGCGGUUUGUCGCGUCUGCUGUGAAAUCCCGAGGCUCAACCUCGGGCUUGCAGUGGGUACGGGCAGACUAGAGUGCGGUAGGGGAGAUUGGAAUUCCUGGUGUAGCGGUGGAAUGCGCAGAUAUCAGGAGGAACACCGAUGGCGAAGGCAGAUCUCUGGGCCGUAACUGACGCUGAGGAGCGAAAGCAUGGGGAGCGAACAGGAUUAGAUACCCUGGUAGUCCAUGCCGUAAACGUUGGGCGCUAGAUGUAGGGACCUUUCCACGGUUUCUGUGUCGUAGCUAACGCAUUAAGCGCCCCGCCUGGGGAGUACGGCCGCAAGGCUAAAACUCAAAGGAAUUGACGGGGGCCCGCACAAGCGGCGGAGCAUGCGGAUUAAUUCGAUGCAACGCGAAGAACCUUACCAAGGCUUGACAUACACCGGAAACGGCCAGAGAUGGUCGCCCCCUUGUGGUCGGUGUACAGGUGGUGCAUGGUUGUCGUCAGCUCGUGUCGUGAGAUGUUGGGUUAAGUCCCGCAACGAGCGCAACCCUCGUUCUAUGUUGCCAGCGGGUUAUGCCGGGGACUCAUAGGAGACUGCCGGGGUCAACUCGGAGGAAGGUGGGGAUGACGUCAAAUCAUCAUGCCCCUUAUGUCUUGGGCUUCACGCAUGCUACAAUGGCCGGUACAAAGGGCUGCGAUACCGUAAGGUGGAGCGAAUCCCAAAAAGCCGGUCUCAGUUCGGAUUGAGGUCUGCAACUCGACCUCAUGAAGUCGGAGUCGCUAGUAAUCGCAGAUCAGCAACGCUGCGGUGAAUACGUUCCCGGGCCUUGUACACACCGCCCGUCAAGUCAUGAAAGUCGGUAACACCCGAAGCCGGUGGCCUAACCCUUGUGGAAGGAGCCGUCGAAGGUGCAUCGAUUCCU